CAACUUUCAGCAAUGGAUCUCUUGGUUCUCGCAUCGAUGAAGAACGCRGUGAAAUGCGAUAACUGGUGUGAAUUGCAUCCAAGUAACUCUAAUUUACGAAUAACACCAAGUGAAUCAUCGAGUCUUUGAA
rnacentral:rRNA from 1 species